GGGAAUUUUGGACAAUGGGCGCAAGCCUGAUCCAGCAAUGCCGCGUGCAGGAUGAAGGCCUUCGGGUUGUAAACUGCUUUUGUACGGGACGAAAAGGACUUCUCUAAUACAGAGGUGCGAUGACGGUACCGUAAGAAUAAGCACCGGCUAACUACGUGCCAGCAGCCGCGGUAAUACGUAGGGUGCGAGCGUUAAUGGGAAUUACUGGGCGUAAAGCGUGCGCAGGCGGUUAUGUAAGACAGAAGUGAAAUCCCCGGGCUCAACCUGGGAACUGCCUUUGUGACUGCAUGGCUAGAGUGCGGCAGAGGGGGAUGGAAUUCCGCGUGUAGCAGUGAAAUGCGUAGAUAUGCGGAGGAACACCGAUGGCGAAGGCAAUCCCCUGAGCCUGCACUGACGCUCAUGCACGAAAGCGUGGGGAGC
rnacentral:rRNA from 1 species